rnacentral:rRNA from 1 species
GACGAACGCUGGCGGCGUGCCUAAUACAUGCAAGUCGAGCGGAAUGAUGAAGAAGCUUGCUUCUUCUGAUUUUAGCGGCGGACGGGUGAGUAACACGUGGGCAACCUACCUUGUAGAUUGGGAUAACUCCGGGAAACCGGGGCUAAUACCGAAUAAUCCAUUUUGCUUCAUGGCGAGAUGUUGAAAGACGGUUUCGGCUGUCACUACAAGAUGGGCCCGCGGCGCAUUAGCUAGUUGGUAGGGUAAUGGCCUACCAAGGCGACGAUGCGUAACCGACCUGAGAGGGUGAUCGGCCACACUGGGACUGAGACACGGCCCAGACUCCUACGGGAGGCAGCAGUAGGGAAUCUUCCACAAUGGACGAAAGUCUGAUGGAGCAACGCCGCGUGAGUGAAGAAGGUUUUCGGAUCGUAAAACUCUGUUGUAAGGGAAGAACACGUACGAGAGUAACUGCUCGUACCUUGACGGUACCUUAUUAGAAAGCCACGGCUAACUACGUG